rnacentral:tRNA from 1 species
GCAUUGGUAGCUCGGGGGUAGAAUCCUUACAUUCCAUGUGAGAGACCUGGGUUCAAUUCCCGGCCAGUGCG